UUUACUUGCUGGAGCUAGGGAUGUUUGUAUCUCGGAGACUUUCUAUGCAUAGUGAACCUGUUAUUUAUUUAGUUAUACUAUUUUCUGUUUAGCAGCUUUAUACUAUUGGUUGUAGUUUUGUAUGAUUACAGAUACAACUAUCGCUUUGUAUACAAGAAAAAUUUCUAUGUAUACGACGGGUCUGUAGGCGUGUCCGGAAAAACGUAUAAUCCGGAGCGUGACAUAUAUAUAUAUAUAGAGUUGGACUGGGCUACUUAUAGUAGCAAAAUCAUAUUGUUGCUACCAGUUUUUUAGCCUUUGGAUCAACUCUUUUCAUUAUUUCUAACCAUUGGAUUAAAUAUUAUAACCCAGUGGGGACCACUCAACCCUACGGGGACCACUCAACUCUAACCCACUAAUAUCAUCCUGACCCUACAAUUUUUCAUCCAAAGGUUAAAAACUUGAUAGCAAAAAGAGCGUUUUACUAUUAAUAGUAUUCCAGCCUAUAUAUAUAUAUAUAUAUAUAUAUAAAUAUAAUUUUCUAUUAAUAUUAAACAUGCAUUAUCUUUCUAUUAAGAUUUGUAUGUUAUCUUUCUAUCUAUCAAUACUUCUAUACUUAUACACUUAUACAUUAUUCUCUCUAAAUUUACCACAUGGCAACAUUUUCUUCAUUGUUCGGUGUCCGCACCAUUCCGAACCUGUUCAAGCCCUCCACAUAUUUCAAUCAUUAUUGAGUAUAGACUCUUCCAAACCGAUUCAAGUCUUCCAUAUAUUUUUUUCUUUCUUUGCUUGAAUCAAAUUGAUUUUUUUCUUUUCUAUGGGGCAAUCAAACCAAUUUGUAUAUAGUAAUAUUUUCUUCAUUAUUGGGUGUGGGCUCCACUCCGAAUCUCCUCAAGUUUUCUAUAUAUAUAUAUAUUUUUUUUUUGCUUGAACUGAAUCAGGUCACGCCUUUGUAUUGAGUCGAAUUGUUCCUCAUUCACUUUCUUUAGCUGUUACCUUCUAUUAUUGAUAAGAUGAAUCUUACCUCUUAUCGUCACUUUUUAAUUAUAUCGUUAUUUUCUCUUCCUUUGUCAUUAUUUUUUAUUUUUUUUAUUAUAUAUCUGUCGCAUCAUACAAAUUACUAUACUAACUAAUAUUAAAUCUUGCAAUGCACAAUUUGGCAAAUCAUUAA
rnacentral:lncRNA from 1 species